rnacentral:rRNA from 1 species
GACGAACGCUGGCGGCGUGCUUAACACAUGCCAGUCGAACGGUAAGGCCCUUCGGGGUGCACGAGUGGCGAACGGGUGAGUAACACGUUGGUGAUCUGCCCUGCACUUCGGGGUAAGCCUGGGAAACUGGGUCUAAUACCGGAUAGGACCACUGCCUGCAUGGGUGGUGGUGGAAAGCUUUUGCGGGGUGGGAUGGGCCCGCGGCCUAUCAGCUUGUUGGUGGGGUGAUGGCCUACCAAGGCGACGACGGUUAGCCGGCCUGAGAGGGUGACCGGCCACACUGGGACUGAGAUACGGCCCAGACUCCUACGGGAGGCAGCAGUGGGGAAUAUUGCACAAUGGGCGCAAGCCUGAUGCAGCGACGCCGCGUGAGGGAUGACGGCCUUCGGGUUGUAAACCUCUUUCAGCACCGACGAAGCGCAAGCGACGGUAGGUGCAGAAGAAGGACCGGCCAACUACGUGCCAGCCGCCGCCGUAA